rnacentral:rRNA from 1 species
GAUGAACGCUGGCGGCGUGCUUAACACAUGCAAGUCGAACGAUUAAACUGGCUUCGGCCAGAUAUAGAGUGGCGAACGGGUGAGUAACACGUGACCAACCUGCCCCGCGCUCCGGGACAACCGCUGGAAACGGCGGCUAAUACCGGAUGCUCCGGGGAGGCCCCAUGGCCUCCCCGGGAAAGCCUUAACGGCGCGGGAUGGGGUCGCGGCCCAUUAGGUAGACGGCGGGGUAACGGCCCACCGUGCCCGCGAUGGGUAGCCGGACUGAGAGGUCGACCGGCCACAUUGGGACUGAGAUACGGCCCAGACUCCUACGGGAGGCAGCAGUGGGGAAUUUUGCGCAAUGGGGGCAACCCUGACGCAGCAACGCCGCGUGCGGGACGAAGGCCUUCGGGUUGUAAACCGCUUUCAGCAGGGAAGACUUUGACGGUACCUGCAGA